GAAAAUAUUAUCUUUGUGAAUUAAAGUAUAUAUACACACUUUAAUUCACAGUAAAUACUGCUAAGCAUAAAUUUUGACAUUGCUGGAUAGUGAGAAAAACAGCAUUUCUCCACUUUUGAUAGUAGAAGAUGGUAUGUUGUAAUUUGCAGCUGAGGUUGAAGAGCCUUUCUGGUACACAUAAGAAGCAAUUGUUAAACUAGGUUACCACUAUUAUCGACUUAAAAGCUUAGUUUGAUCCUCGUUUAGCACAUUCUUCAGCUCGUGUUAGUGCGUCAGUUAUAACAUCUAUUGUCCAAUCCUUGACAUCUUCCAUCUUCAAAGGCUCCCCUGUCCUAAGCUUUGCAUUUGGACGAGCUAGUUUAGAUUCAAACGGAGUUCUUGGUCGCACUUCCUGAACUGAUUCCCAUUCCUCGCGGGUAAGCAUCCUAACUGUUCCUUGACCAGCAGGCGCAUUCUUUAUUUUUCGCUCAAUCAUAUCUUGCGACUUUGAGUCAUCAUACAUCAUGAGG
rnacentral:misc_RNA from 1 species